rnacentral:rRNA from 1 species
GAAUAUUGCACAAUGGGCGAAAGCCUGAUGCAGCAACGCCGCGUGAAGGAUGAAGGUUUUCGGAUCGUAAACUUCUUUUAGAUGGGAAGAGCAAGGACGGUACCAUCGGAAUAAGUCUCGGCUAACUACGUUCCAGCAGCCGCGGUAAAACGUAGGAGGCGAGCGUUAUCCGGAAUUACUGGGCGUAAAGCGCGCGUAGGCGGUGGUUUAAGUGGUGCGUGAAAGCGCCUGGCUCAACUGGGCGAGGACGUACCAAACUGAAUGACUGGAGAUGGACAGAGGCAAGCAGAAUUCCGGGUGGAGUGGUGAAAUGCGUAGAGAUCCGGAGGAAUACCAGUGGCGAAGGCGGCUUGCUGGGUCAUAUCUGACGCUGAGGCGCGAAAGCGUGGGUAGCGAACGGG